rnacentral:tmRNA from 1 species
GGGGCUGUAAAGGUUUCGACGGGGUUUCAGAAGCGGAUUAAGCCACUGGCAGCGGAUAUCUGCCUAAAAAGAUCCAAUUAAAAUUAAACGCUAAAAAUAAUAAAUUAGCUUUAGCUGCCUAAGUGCAGCUCGUCGGCCGCAGAGGCCCGCAGCUGCCAAGCCGGCGUCAUUCCUGCGGGAAAGUCUGCCGCCUAAGCUUGUAAGCGGCAGAACAUCACAAGCUACUUCUUAUCGGAGUCUGUCAUUGGGGACCGGUAAGGGGGAAUCAAAAUUUCAAUGACUGUAGUGGGAGAAAGAUGCGUGGAGGAGAUUUCGGACGCGGGUUCGAUUCCCGCCAGCUCCAUAA